rnacentral:rRNA from 1 species
UACGUAGGGGGCUAGCGUUGUCCGGAAUCAUUGGGCGUAAAGCGCGUGUAGGCGGCCCGGUAAGUCCGCUGUGAAAGUCGGGGGCUCAACCCUCGGAUGCCGGUGGAUACUGUCGGGCUCGAGUGCGGAAGAGGCGAGUGGAAUUCCUGGUGUAGCGGUGAAAUGCGCAGAUAUCAGGAGGAACACCAAUGCGAAGGCAGCUCGCUGGGACGUUACUGACGCUGAGACGCGAAAGCGUGGGGAGCAAACAGG